GUAGGUGGCAAGCGUUGUCCGGAAUUAUUGGGCGUAAAGCGCGCGCAGGCGGUUCUUUAAGUCUGAUGUGAAAGCCCACGGCUCAACCGUGGAGGGUCAUUGGAAACUGGAGAACUUGAGUACAGAAGAGGAAAGCGGAAUUCCACGCGUAGCGGUGAAAUGCGUAGAGAUGUGGAGGAACACCAGUGGCGAAGGCGGCUUUCUGGUCUGUAACUGACGCUGAGGCGCGAAAGCGUGGGGAGCAAACAGGGAUUAGAUACCCUGGUAGUCCACGCCGUAAACGAUGAGUGCUAAGUGUUAGGGGGGUUUCCGCCCCCUUAGUGCUGCAGCUAACGCAUUAAGCACUCCGCCUGGGGAGUACGGCCGCAAGGCUG
rnacentral:rRNA from 1 species